rnacentral:rRNA from 1 species
UACGUAGGGCGCAAGCGUUGUCCGGAAUUAUUGGGCGUAAAGAGCUCGUAGGCGGCUUGUCACGUCGGGUGUGAAAGCCCGGGGCUUAACCCCGGGUCUGCAUUCGAUACGGGCUAGCUAGAGUGUGGUAGGGGAGAUCGGAAUUCCUGGUGUAGCGGUGAAAUGCGCAGAUAUCAGGAGGAACACCGGUGGCGAAGGCGGGAUCCUGGGCCAGUACUGACGCUGAGGAGCGAAAGCGUGGGGAGCAAACAGG